CGACCUCAAGAGGGAAAGUGUCAGUGUAAACCAUUAUUUUAUCGUUGAGUCUUAUGGAACUUCCGUCCGUACUGUUUCUUGUAAUUUCAGCGUGAUAAUUUAAACAGAACAAGACAAUGUACUUCGGGAAUACCUGCCUGGCCGCAAUAUUUAACCUCUCACUGUCUCGAACGUUCAUAAUCUCCUAGCAUCGCUCACACUGAAAACUAAACUGUGUUCUAAACAUCGUCUCAAAGCUCGACUCAAACCGCCAUGAAAAAACAAAGAAUCUUCUUCAUCAUUUUUACUUUAACCCUGUUCGUCUCAGUUUUGGCCUGGACUCGUGAAACUCAUCUCGUAAUAAAAAAUUUAUCAAAAAAUGACAUCGUCACAACAGUUGUCACAGAAUUCGACAGUUACGAUUUCGAAAAAAACAAUGGUCCUCAAGAUAAGUUCCAAAACGUUUCUAUUCCGAGGAAUUCUUCAGUGGAUCGUCACAUUGAGGUGAACCGCUUUGCGUCCAACUGUCCAUUUACCAUGACGUUAUGGUUUUCCGAUUUGACGAGCUCGUGGUUCCGGAUUAACCAGAAAUAUGCUAUUAAAAUGGCGGAACCUGGGUUUUCGCAUUCCGGAAACCGUGCCAUCGGAUAUGCGAGGAAACGCAAAACUAUUAUUAUUACUGUCAAAGACAAAUAAUAAUUUGCGCUGAAAAAAGAAGAAUUUUAAAAUCGAGUGUCAUGUUGCUUGGGGAAAAUAGUUUUCUAGAAAUCUCUGAAAUUGUUAAAAGUAUGUAAAUAUUUGCAGUUAAAGUGAUAAACACAUGUGCAAGGAAAUUGGCGAAAUGGUAAUGAAUACGUUUAAGGUAUCUUAUCACCUAUCUGAGUAGGAACAGAUUUUGAAAAUAUAUAUUUUUGUCGUAA